UUUUUGACUUCAAAUUGGGGCUAAUCUCAGAGAGUUUAUUUCCUUGAUUUCUCCGGUAAAUAUUGAGAGGAAGAACAAUAAAUGAUUCGGAGCUUAAAGAAUCUAUCAUUUGACUGAAAAUCAGUAAUCUGAUUCAGUCACUGACAUCACUCUUGUUUUGGGUUCUUAAUUAGAGAGAUACCAAUCAAUGUGGUCGGCAAAAAUGGUCCAUCUGGGUUUUCAUCUUCGAGUACAACUGAGGAAGUAACUAAUAGAAUCGAUGCGUCUGCUCUUACUGCCAUUGUCACUGGAUUUGUAUGGCUUAUGUGCACAAAUGAGUCAAAUGACACAGAGGUUAGGUGCAUCAAGUGGUAUUGGUGUUGAGACUGCACGUGCGUGGAGCUCGUGUAAUCAUGGCAGUGAGAAAUGUGCCCGCAGAUAGAACUGUCAAAGAAGCGAUAGUAAAAGAAAACAAUAACGCCAAAGUUGAUGUAAUGGAGUUAGAUCUUAGCUCCAUGGCGUCUGUGAGAAAAAUUUAACAAUGCAGGAGUUGGGACCUCCUUCAAAGCUCUCCAAAGACAACAUAGAGCUGGUUUUUGCAACAAAUCAUCUAGGUCAUUUUUUUUUCUUUUUGACUGAACUUUUACUGGAAACCAUGAAAAGUACGGCCUGCCGAAGAAUAUAACAUAGAAGGAAGAAUUAUCAAUGUGUCAUCUGACUUACACAAGCAUUCAUACGAAGAAGGGAUACGUUUUGAUAAACUCAAUGAUGAAUCAGGGUACAAUAUCUUGAGAGCAUACCCACAAUCAAAACUCGCGAAUAUACUGCACGCUAAUGAGCUUGCAAGACGCCUCAAGGAAUAAUUUUUAAUGGAGGUGGAAACAAAUUGAAUUCAUAUGCAACGGAUUGGUCUUUAUUUUAAUGGUUUGGUGAACAGGAAGAUGGGGUUCAAGUAACAGAAAAUUCUCUGCAUCCAGGAGCUGUAGCAACCAAUAUUUUUCGCAAUACCUUUUUAAGUGGAUUUGUUUCAGCGCUGGGAAAAUUGGUUUUUAAAAAUGUUCAACAGGGGGCAUCAACGACAUGCUACAUUGCUUUACAUCCGACCGUCAGAGGUGUAAGUGGGAAUAUUUUAAAGACAACAACAUCUCAAAAUCAGACCCCUAAGCUCAAGAUAUAGUAUUAGCCAAGAAACUAUGGGAUUUGAGCAUGAGAUUGAUCCACAAUGCUUGAAUAUGCUUCCGUAAUGUGCUGCUCUGAAUUUGCACUACUGCAUGCAUCAUAGAUAGUUUUUUCGUUUCUUUUUUUCUUUGUCAUUGACAGUUUAGCCCAGAUAACGAAAGGUCCCAUUUGUUACAUUUUUGUUUCUGUCCCCACGGGUCACAUUUGGUUACGCACGGCAUCGAUGAUAUUCUACAUUGUUUCCUAUCUAAUUGUCAAGAGGCGUAAAUGGAGAGUAGCAACAACAUUUCAAAAAAGGAACUUAAAAGCUCAAGAUAUGAGAUUUAGCCAGGAAUAUGUCGGAUUUCACCAUGAAAUUGACUAACAAUUGUUGAAAAUGCUUUUGUACUGUCCUAGUUCUGUAGUUGGUUCCAUUGCAUCAUAUUCUGCUUUUCUUCCGCAUUUCUAUUCUUCCAGGUGGUGUUAGCAUUGUGCCUGAGUUGUCUUUUAAGCGAUGGAAGAGCCGAGGCCUCUGAAACGAGCUUUAAUUGAUGCCACGUCUGGGACUAUUUAAGCGAUGGAAGAGCCAAAGCUGUCUGCCACCCCCUUGAUGUGGUCAAGAAAAGGUUCCAGAUUACAGGACUUCCCAGGGACCCAAAGUAUGGAGCUCGGGUCGAGCACCAUGCUUAUAACGGCAUGCUUGAUGCCCUGAGGCGCAUCUUGGUAACUGAAGGGUGGGGUGGGCUGGUCUUUACAAGGGUAUCGUCCUUCAGUAAUCAAAGCUGCUCCAGCGGGUGCCGUCAAUUUUUUGUUGCCUAUGAAUACACAUCAGAAUGUUUAGAAUCCCACUUGACCUGAAACAAAGUUUGAUUCUUUGUAUCUUUUUAUUUUGGCAAGCUUAAAUACCCUCAA